AAAUGAAAAGCCGAAUCUCUUCACAACGAAUAAUUGGUUGACUCGAGCACUACACCUAAGACUUCGAGACUUUUUACUUUUCACCGAUUCAAAUGCAACACGAUCCUGGGGCGCCUGGGUGGCGCAGUCGGUUAGGCGUCCGACUUCAGCCAG